rnacentral:rRNA from 1 species
AUUGAACGCUGGCGGCAUGCCUUACACAUGCAAGUCGAACGGUAACGGGCCUUCGGGUGCCGACGAGUGGCGAACGGGUGAGUAAUGUAUCGGAACGUACCUUUCAGUGGGGGAUAACGUAGCGAAAGGUACGCUAAUACCGCAUAUUCUGUGAGCAGGAAAGCAGGGGAUCGUAAGACAUUGCGUUGAUUGCGCGGCAGAUAUCAGAAUAGCUGGUUGGUGGGGUAAAGGCUCACCAAGGCGACGAUCUGUAGCGGGUCUGAGAGGAUGAUCCGCCACACUGGAACGGAGACACGGUCCAGACUCCUACGGGAGGCAGCAGUGGGGAAUUUUGGACAAUGGGGGCAACCCUGAUCCAGCCAUGCCGCGUGAGUGAAGAAGGCCUUCGGGUUGUAAAGCUCUUUCGGCCGGGAAGAAAUCGUAUCAGCUAAUACCUGGUGCGGAUGACGGUACCGGCAUAAGAAGCACCGGCUAACUACGUGCCAGCCGCCGCCGUAA